rnacentral:misc_RNA from 1 species
GAAGGAGCGCCCAAGUCUGUGAAAAAUAUGAACGGGCAGGUGUGCCAGAUCUGCGGCGAUACCGUCGGAGUUACAGAUAAGGGGGAGAUUUUCGUUGCUUGCAAUGAAUGUGCUUUCCCUGUUUGUCGCCCUUGCUAUGAGUAUGAGCGGAAGGAUGGGACUCAGGCUUGCCCUCAGUGCAAAUCUAGAUAUAAGAGACUUAAAGGGAGUCCUCGAGUUGAUGGAGAUGAUGAAGAGGAUGAUGCUGAUGAUUUGGAUAAUGAGUUUGACUAUGCCCACGAUAAUGGCAAGGCAGCACGCUGGGAGUCGCGGGGCAAGAGCGAAGAUGUUGAUUUAUCGUCUUCGAGACAUGAAUCUCGGCAUACAAUUCCUCGUCUGACCAGCGGGCUUCCGGUCUCUGGAGAACUGCAUACUGCUACACCUGAUAAUCAGUCUGUUAGAAGUCAUUCGGGUCCUUUAGGGCCCGGUGAAAGAAGACACUCGCAUUCUUAUGUCGACCCUAGCACUCCAGUUCCAGUAAGAAUUAUAGACCCUUCAAAGGAUUUGAACUCCUACGGGCUUGGAAGUAUCGACUGGAAGGAAAGAGUUGAAGGCUGGAAACUCAAACAAGAUAAAAAUACGAUGCAGAUGACAAACAAAUAUGCAGAGGGAAAAGGAGAUUUGGAAGGAACUGGGUCGAACGGCGAAGAACUGCAAAUGGUUGAUGAUGCUCGAAUGCCUAUGAGUCGUGUAGUGCCUAUUCCUUCUAACCAACUUAACCUUUAUCGUGUGGUGAUUAUAUUGCGCCUUAUUAUCCUCGGGUUCUUCUUCCAGUACCGUGUUACUCAUCCAGUGAAAAAUGCUUACCCACUAUGGCUAACAUCAGUCAUAUGUGAAAUCUGGUUUGCCAUGUCAUGGCUUCUUGAUCAGUUCCCAAAAUGGCAUCCUAUCAACCGUGAAACAUAUCUUGAGAGGCUUGCCGUUAGAUUUGACAGAGAAGGCGAGCAUUCACAGCUUUCUCCGGUUGAUAUUUUUGUCAGUACAGUGGAUCCUCUGAAA